rnacentral:rRNA from 1 species
GACGAACGCUGGCGGCGUGCUUAACACAUGCCAGUCGAACGGAAAGGCCCUGCUUUUGUGGGGUGCUCGAAUGGCGAACGGGUGAGUAACACGUGAGUAACCUGCCCUUGACUUUGGGAUAACUUCAGGAAACUGGGGCUAAUACCGGAUAGGAGCUCCUGCUGCAUGGUGGGGGUUGGAAAGUUUCGGCGGUUGGGGAUGGACUCGCGGCUUAUCAGCUUGUUGGCGGGGUAGUGGCUUACCAAGGCUUUGACGGGUAGCCGGCCUGAGAGGGUGACCGGCCACAUUGGGACUGAGAUACGGCCCAGACUCCUACGGGAGGCAGCAGUGGGGAAUAUUGCACAAUGGGCGGAAGCCUGAUGCAGCAACGCCGCGUGCGGGAUGACGGCCUUCGGGUUGUAAACCGCUUUCGCCUGUGACGAAGCGUGAGUGACGGUAAUGGGUAAAGAAGCACCGGCUAACUACGUG